rnacentral:rRNA from 1 species
AAACGCUGGCGGCGUGCCUAACACUGCAAGUCGAGCGCGAAAGUCCCGUUUCGGGGGCGAGUAGAGCGGCGGACGGGUGAGUAAUACAUGGAUAAUCUGCCCUCGAGAUCGGGAUAACCCUGCGAAAGUGGGGGCUAAUACCGAAUAAGACCACACAACACAAGUUUGUGUGGUAAAAGGUGGCUUUGAAUUUAUUCUGGCUAUCACUUGAGGAUGAGUCCAUGGCCUAUCAGCUUGUUGGUGGGGUAAUGGCCUACCAAGGCUAUGACAGGUAGCUGGUCUGAGAGGACGACCAGCCACACUGGGACUGAGACACGGCCCAGACUCCUACGGGAGGCAGCAGUGGGGAAUAUUGGGCAAUGGGCGAAAGCCUGACCCAGCGACGCCGCGUGGGUGAUGAAGGCCUUCGGGUUGUAAAGCCCUUUCGUGCGGAAAGAACAGUCCUGUGGCGAAUACUCGCAGGAUUUGACGGUACCGCAGGAAGAAGCACCGGCUAACUCCGUG